GUCCAGAUGAGCAUCGAUGUGGUCCGGUGUGCGGGCUUCAAACCCGUAGCUGACGAAAGUCAGAAUGUUUCGACUCUACCUUCUGGGCA